GAUGAAGAACGCAGCGAAAUGCGAUAAGUAAUGUGAAUUGCAGAAUUCAGUGAAUCAUCGAGUCUUUGAACGCACAUUGCGCCCCCUGGUAUUCCGGGGGGCAUGCCUGUCCGAGCGUCAUUGCCGCCCUCAAGCACGGCUUGUGUGUUGGGCCCCCGCCCCCCGGCCUCGGGGGGCGGGCCCGAAAGGCAGCGGCGGCACCGCGUCCGGUCCUCGAGCGUAUGGGGCUUCGUCACCCGCUCUGUAGGCCCGGCCGGCGCCCGCCGGCGACCCCAAUCAAUCUUUCCAGGUUGACCUCGGAUCAGGUAGGGAUACCCGCUGAACUUAAGCAUAUCAAUAAGCGGAGGA
rnacentral:misc_RNA from 1 species